rnacentral:ribozyme from 1 species
AGGAAAAAAAAAAAAAAAAAAAAAAAAAAAAAAAAA